UACGAGUGCCCCGAGCGUUAUCCGGAAUCAUUGGGCGUAAAGGGUGUGUAGGUGGUUGUGUUAGUCGAUCGUCAAAACCCGGAGCUUAACUCCGGAUCCGCGUUCGAUACGGCACGACUAGAGGAUGCGAGGGAUGUAUGGAACUCAUGGAGUAGGGGUGAAAUCCGUUGAUAUCAUGGGGAACACCGAAAGCGAAGGCAGUACAUUGGCGCACUCCUGACACUGAAACACGAAAGCGUGGGUAGCGAAGUGGG
rnacentral:rRNA from 1 species